UGGCCAACUAUCGGAACACGAGCGAGAU
rnacentral:piRNA from 1 species